ACCGCCGAGACUGUGUCCGCCCCGCAAGCACAGAGCUUUGCCCUUGCCGUUCCGUCGCCUGUCCACACCCGCCGCCAGCUCACCAUGGAUGAUGAUAUCGCUGCACUUGUUGUCGACAACGGCUCCGGCAUGUGCAAGGCUGGCUUCGCGGGUGACGAUGCUCCCCAGGCCGUCUUCCCCUCUAUUGUGGGGCGCCCCAGGCACCAGGGCGUGAUGGUGGGCAUGGGUCAGAAGGACUCCUACGUGGGUGACGAGGCCCAGAGCAAGAGAGGCAUCCUGACCCUGAAGUACCCCAUCGAGCAUGGCAUUGUCACCAACUGGGAUGACAUGGAGAAGAUCUGGCACCACACUUUUUACAACGAGCUGCGUGUGGCUCCUGAGGAGCACCCUGUGCUGCUUACUGAGGCCCCCCUGAACCCCAAGGCCAACCGUGAGAAGAUGACCCAGAUCAUGUUUGAGACCUUCAACACCCCAGCCAUGUAUGUGGCCAUCCAGGCUGUGCUCUCCUUGUACGCCUCUGGCCGUACCACUGGCAUCGUGAUGGACUCCGGUGACAGGGUCACCCACACUGUGCCCAUCUAUGAGGGGUAUGCCCUCCCCCACGCCAUCCUAUGUCUGGACCUGGCUGGCUGGGACCUGACUGACUACCUCAUGAAGAGCCUCACCAAGCGCGGCUACAGCUUCACCACCACAGCUGAGCGGGAAAUCGUGUGUGACAUCAAGGAGAAGCUGUGCUACGUCACCCUGGACUUCGAGCAGGAGAUGGCCACGGCGGCCUCCAGCUCCUCCCUGGAGAAGAGCUAUGAGCUGCCCGAUGGUCAGGUCAUCACCAUCAGCAAAGAGCGGUUCCGCUGCCCUGAGGCACUCUUCCAGCCUUCUUUCCUGGGCAUGGAAUCUUGUGGCAUCCACGAAACUACCUUUAACUCCAUCGUGAAAUGUGACGUGGACAUCCGCAAAGACCUGUAUGCCAACAGUGCUGUCUAGCGGUACCACCAUGUGCCCUGGCAUCGCUGACAGGAUGCAGAAGGAGAUCACCGCCCUGGCACCCAGCACGAUGAAGAUCAAGAUCAUUGCUCCUCCCGAGCGCAAGUACUCUGUGUGGAUCAGUGGCUCCAUCCUGGCCUCGCUGUCCACCUUCCAGCAGAUGUGGAUCAGCAAGCAGGAGUACGACGAGUCCGGCCCCUCCAUCGUCCACCGCAAAUGCUUCUAGGCGGACUGUGACUUAGUUGCGUUACACCCUUUCUUGACAAAACCUAACUUGCGCGGAAAACAAGAUGAGAUUGGCAUGGCUUUAUUUGUUUUUUUGUUUUGUUUUGGUUAUUUUUUUUGGCUUGACUCAGGAUUUAAAAACUGGAACCGUGAAGGUGACAGCAGUCGGUUGGAGCGAGCAUCCCCCAAAGUUCUACAAUGUGGCCGAGGACUUGAUUGUGUACAUUGUUUUUUUUAAGUCAUUCCAAAUAUCGUGAGAUGCAUUGUUACAGGAAGUCCCUUGCCCUCCCAAAAGCCACCCCACUUCUCUCUAAGGAGAAUGGCCCAGUUCUCUCCCGAGUCCACACAGGGGAGGUAACAGCAUUGCUUUUGUUGUAAAUUAUGUAAUGAAAAAAUUUUUAAAUUUCGCCUUAAUACUUUUUUUAUUUUGUUUUAUUUUGAAAGAUUUUAGCCUCUGGCUACCCCUUUUUUGUCCCUCGAGCAGUAUAAAGGCUUUUGGUCUCCCUGGGAGUGGGUGGAGGCAGCCAGGGCUUACCUGUACACUGACUUGAGACCAGUUGAAUAAAGUGCACACCUUAAAAAUGAGAAAAAAAACAAAAUCUAUCAAUCAAAUGAGAGAGAACCUCAAGAAUCCUAAUUCUUCUAGAAAAACCAGAUGUCUAAAUAAAACCUAUGGACUGAUUUUGCUCCCAGUUUCUUUGGCCAAGUUAUUUCCACCACUUUUAAUUUAACCCCUGUGCUGCUUUAUUGUAGCACAUCACUUGGUGCUAUGUGUAAACUCAGUUGCUUUUUAAAAUAUAUUGGCAUUAAAUGAGAUGUAUUUUAAGGAUAUAGGGAUCUGCUGCUGUGAGCAGUAUAUGAAGCUGCUGCCAGCCAGUUAAACCCCCAGGGAUGAAUUUCCACUCUCACUUCUCCUCCUUCUUUAAAGUAAAAGGAGAGAUAACUGAGGUGGGAUUUUCUUUUCUUUUCUCCAUGUAAUCUUUUCUAUUUUAUUGCCAACUUAUUUGAUGACUAAAAAUAUAUAUAGUUCAGUUUCAUAUUUUCCCUCUGUGCCCUAUUUCAGCAAAUUAUUCUUGGGGUUAAAACAAGUAGUGGUCUUCAAAUACUUCAUUGCAUAAAAAUUGUGGCUCCUGUUAUUGUGAAGUUCAUGAAAUAACAGCAUUAUUCAGCUCAUCUGCACUUCCACAGAAGCCUAAAAGAAAGGUUAAGGAAACUUACUUUUGUGUGCAACUGACCAUACGCUGAACUGAAAGUCCCAAAUGCUUAUGAGACACCUGCUUCCUAAAUCCAUGCUCUUCCACCAAGAGAUAAAAGCUUGAGCUCACCUUCAUUUGUGAACAGGAGCAGUGUGGAGGAUGGCAGCCAAGAGCAUUAGAUCUGCAAUCACACUUGUACGGUGCCUCCACUCACAUUGGCACCUUUCUACUUUCUCUGCUUUGAGCUGGAGUCACCUGAUACCCAGUUCAAUGCUGCUUUCUACUUUUGACAGCUCAAAGACAAGAUAGACUCUGUUCCUUCCACCUCAGGCUAGAAAAUCUAGACUUCCAAUAAAAUCUUUUCCGUCUUCAACAUAUAUUUUGGCAAGUAGUAUAGAAUCCAUAGUUUAGUUAUGUUGUUGCCAUACUAGAUCCUUGGUAUAGAUGUGCUGCCAAGACUUUCCAAACAGCGUUUCCCACAAAUAUCCAGAUUUUUCAGGAUCAGGAACAAAGUACACUUAAACUUUACAAAUGUUUUAUAGCCCAAAUUAACACAUAUUUGUAUCCACCCAUGUAAUCGAAAUGUUCAUGCUGGUUAAAUCAGAGUUGGUCCCGUGAUCUUGUAAUAUGAAAUUACCCAAUUGGUCUUGAGCUAUAUGAUGUUGUACCAUGAAAUACAGAAACAGCAUUGACCUGGGUAUCAGGUGACUCCAGCUCAUAGGCUUUUCAUGAGAUCUAUUAAUAUUGAGAUAUGCUGUAAGAAGAAUUUUGCAUAUACCAAGAUAAAACUAUGAAAGAUAGGCUGGGCACGGUGGCUCAUGCCUGUAAUUCCAGCACUUUGGGAGGCCAAGGCGGGCAGCUCAUGAGGUCAGGAGAUCGAGACCAUCCUGCUAACACAGUGAAACCCCAUCUCCACUAAAAAUACAAAAAAGUAGCCAGGCGUGGUAGCACGUGCCUGUAGUCACAGCUACUCGGGAGGCUGAGGCUGGAGAAUCACUUGAACCUGGGAGGCGGAGGUUGCAGUGAGCCAAGAUCAUGCCACUGCACUCCAGCCUGGGUGACAGAGUGAGACUUCAUCUCAAAAAAUAAAAAUAAAUUUAAAAAAACAUGAAGGAUAAAAUCCUUUAUUCUCACAAAAAAUAUUAAAAGGCUUUGUUCAGUGAUUCUCAGGACCCCUUUACACCUAUGAUUAUUGAAGACUCUAAAGAACAUUGGUUUAAGUGGGUUAUAUCUAUCAUUAUUAGCUGUAUUAGGAGUAACUUUAAAAAUAUUUAUUAACAUUUUAAAAAUAAUAGCCCACUGCCAACACUAACCUAAAUAAUGUAUUUUUGAAACACAAUUAUUUUCUAAAAAAAAAAUAUAGAAGAGUAGGAUUGUCUGACAGGUCCGAAAAAUUAAUAGAACAUGGUUGGACUCUCAUAUCUCCUUCUGUAUUCAGUCAGUCGUAAUAUGUUGUUUUGAUUGAAGCACAUGAAGAAAAUCCAGCCAUACACAGAUAAGGGUUUGGAAAAUGGAAGAAUAUUUUGUAUGUUUCAUAGCCUUUUCAGAUAGUCUCGUAUAUUCUUCUUUGCCUUUAUAUAAACUCAACAAUGGUAAUUCUAAGUGAUAGUUGCAAUGUGGAUUCUACAGUCAUAUUAAUAAACUUUUUGCUUUUGUAACUUAUAAGAGAACAAGAUUGAAAAAGGCAAAGAACAUCUUAGUAUAAUUUUGAAAAUAGUUUUGACCUUGCAGACCCCCUGAAAGGUUCUCAGUAUCCCCCAGGGUCCCCAGAUCACAAUUUGAGAAUCACUGGUGAUAUGGUUUGGUUCUGUGUCCCUACCCAAAUAUCUUGAAUUGUAAUCCUCAUGUGUUGGAGGAGAAGCCUGGUGGGAGAUGAUUGGAUCACAGGGCACGUUUCCCCCUUGCUUUUUUUGUGAUAGUGAGUGAGUUCUCACAAGAGCCGAUGGUUUUAAAGUGUGGGACUUUCCGCCUCGCUCGCUCUCUCUCCUGCCACCAUGUGCAGAAGGCCUUUGUUUCCCCUUCACCUUCCACCGUGAUUGUAAGUCUUCUGAAGCCUUCCCAGCCAUGUGGAACUGUGAGUCAGUUCAACCUUUUUUCUUCAUAAA